AUGAGCUCACUAAUCUCGACGGAGAAAGAAGCUUUCAGGAUGAAAAGGGAGGAAGAGGAGGCUAUCACAUUGAAAGAAGAAGAGGAUGAUAUUACAGUGAAAGAGGAAUAUGGAAAAGAGGUUGUCAGAGUGGAAGAGGAGGAGGUAGAAGCUUUCAGAAUCAAAAAGGAGGAAGAUGCCGUAAUAUUGAAAGAAGAGGAAGAAACUUUUGGAGUAAAAGAGGAAGAGGCUAUCUCAAUUAAAGAGGAUGAGGAAGACAUUUUGGGAGUGAAAAGGGACGAGGCUGAAGAUUCGAUUAAGACCAGAGAGAGACAUGACUUUCGUGGAUCCUCUGGGGCGCCUCAACAACAUCCUGAUGCUGACGAGGCAGAGAAGAGUCUCUCCAGAUCAGAACACCAGAUGGACAACGCUAGCCCUUCCUCUCUCCCGGAGUCCCCGUGUCGUGCCUCUCCCGGUAUUGGCUUACUGUUGGGUAUGAAGAGGUUGUCUGUGCUGCUGGUGGACUGCAGGAAAACAACGGGGCUGAGUGGAACUGUGAGAGGAGGAGAAGAGAAGAAAGGAUCAGAUUUGACUCAUCAAAGUAAGUAGUUUAGUAUGAACAAAUACAAUAGAUCUGCCCACUGGUAUCUGUUACCAGGACAACCAGCAGAGUUAUGUUAGUUGACAUGAAGAUAGACUGGUGGAUAUGGAUGUUAUGAAUAUCGUAACACUGAAAAAGGAUUCUGCCAAUGAAAAGAGAGAAACCAAUAGACCAUAUAAAACCUUGAUGAAAGUUAGCUUCAGAGAAAAAAUGUCAAGAUGAUCUAUUUAACUAAUACUGGAGGAAAGCUGUCAUCAGGCUGCCCACUCAAGAGAAAGCUUCAAACUGUAACCAGUGCCUGCAACCUGGUUCAGGUUAUCAGUCAACCUACCAGGGUAGUUACAAACAGUAGAGGAAUGAAAUCAUCAACAUGGUUUGAUCAUAUCUUUACUAAUGCUGCAGAAAUGGGUUUUAAAGCAGUAUCCAAAUCCAUCAGAUGUAGUGAUCACAAUAUAGNNNNNNNNNNCAUGGUGUGUAAUGAUGAGCAACCAGACACUGCCCUUGACACGU
rnacentral:lncRNA from 13 species